CACUCACCGCCCGUCACAUCACCCGAGUCUGGUGCUCCCGAAGUCGCUGGCCGAACCCGUGAGGGACGGAGGCGCCGAAGGAGUGCCCGGUGAGGGGGUG
rnacentral:rRNA from 1 species